rnacentral:rRNA from 1 species
UACGUAGGGGGCUAGCGUUGUCCGGAUUUAUUGGGCGUAAAGAGCUCGUAGGCGGUUUGUCGCGUCUGCUGUGAAAACUCGGGGCUUAACCCCGGGCCUGCAGUGGGUACGGGCAGACUAGAGUUCGGCAGGGGAGACUGGAAUUCCUGGUGUAGCGGUGAAAUGCGCAGAUAUCAGGAGGAACACCGGUGGCGAAGGCGGGUCUCUGGGCCGAUACUGACGCUGAGGAGCGAAAGCGUGGGGAGCGAACAGG